rnacentral:rRNA from 1 species
UUGGAGGGCAAGUCUGGUGCCAGCAGCCGCGGUAAUUCCAGCUCCAAUAGCGUAUAUUAAAGUUGUUGCAGUUAAAAAGCUCGUAGUUGAAUUUCGGGGUUAGUAGGUUGGUCAUGCCUCUGGUAUGUACUGGUCUCACUGAUUCCUCCUUCCUUAUGAACCGUAAUGCCAUUAAUUUGGUGUUGCGGGGAAUUUGGACUGUUACUUUGAAAAAAUUGAGUGUUUAAAGCAAGCUAACGCUUGAAUACAUUAGCAUGGAAUAAUAGAAAUAGGACG